rnacentral:rRNA from 1 species
GACGUAGGGCGCAAGCGUUGUCCGGAUUUAUUGGGCGUAAAGAGCUCGUAGGCGGCUCGUUGCGUCGUCCGUGAAAACCCGCAGCUCAACUGCGGGCUUGCGGACGAUACGGGCAGGCUGGAGUUCGGUAGGGGAGACUGGAAUUCCUGGUGUAGCGGUGAAAUGCGCAGAUAUCAGGAGGAACACCGGUGGCGAAGGCGGGUCUCUGGACAGUUCCUGACGCUGAAGCACGAAGGCCAGGGGAGCAAACGGG